rnacentral:lncRNA from 1 species
GGCACAUUAUGUUAAUGCAAGGGGAAGGAAAACAGUGAAAACAGGGUGGGGGAGAUAUAGGGUUCCCCACCCCCCAGCCCAACCAUCCAGAGCCAAGAGCUCACUCUCUCACCCUCCUGCAAUCAGACACAGCAUGCAGCACAUCUUCCUGGCCCAACUCUUGGGAGGCUGUUGGCUCUCCCAAGUCUUCUGCCCAGCAGCAGGUGGCUUCCUGGGUUACGUCCUCCCCACCUAAUCGUGCAGAGUCUCCACUGGCCUUCUGCUACCGUAGUGCCUUGUGAGGAAGCCACCUCACCGUGCCGUGGUGGGUGACAGACCACUUGCUCACAGGCUCCCAGUGCAGCUAGAAAGCAGUUUGGAAGGUCAGCCACCUGACAGCCCCACACUUUGUGCAAAACACUGUUUCCUGGCCCCUGAACAUGGUCCUGAUCCCCACUCCAUCCUCCUGUACACACACCAAGAAAAGGGGGAAAUGUCCAAGUAUUUUUGAAACUCUUCAUGUUAUAUUACAGGUUUAGAGGCUAUCAGAAAACAGCAUCAACUCUAUUAGUUUUCUAGGGCUGCUGAAGUAAUUAUUAAAAACUGAGUGUCUUAAAACAACAGAAAUCGAUUUCCUCACAGUUCUGGGAGCUAGAAGCCUAAAGCUACACUGCAGGCAGGGCCAAGCUCCCUGUGAGGGCUCUAGGGGAGGGUCCUUCCUUGCUUGAAGUUUUGGGCUUUUCGAAGCAUCUCUCCAAUCUCUGCCUCUCUUGUUGCACGGCCUUCUCUAUGUUUGGCUCUGUGUCCAAAUCUCCCUCUCCUUUUUUUCAUAAGAACACCGGCCAUAUUAGUCAAGUUCCACUCUCAUCCAGGAGGCCUUUAUCUUAAUUUGGGUGUAUUUGCAAAGAUCCUAUUUCUUUCUUUCUUUUUUUUUUUUUUUUAUUUGAGACGGAGUCUUGUUCUGUCACCCAGCCUGGAGUGCAGUGGCGCGAUCUUGGCUCACUGCAAGCUCUGCCUCCNNNNNNNNNNNNNNNAUUCUCCUGCCUCAGCCUCCCAAGUAGCUGGGAUUACAGGUGCCCACCACCACGCCCAGCUAAUUUUUUUGUAUUUUUCAUAGAGACGGGGUUUCACCGUGUUAGCCAGGAUGGUCUCGAUCUCCUGACCUCGUGAUCCGCCCACCUCAGCCUCCCGAAGUGCUGGGAUUACAGGUGUGAGCCACCGCACCCGGCCUGCAAAGACCCUAUUUCUAAAUAAAGUCACAUUCACUGGUACCAGAGGUUACCACCUACUGGUUCAGAUGAUUCUCCUGCCUCAGCCUCCCUAGUAGCUGGGAUUACAGGUGCCCACCACCACACCUGGCUAAUUUUUGUAUUUUUAGUAGAGACAGGGUUUCACCAUGCUGGCCAGGCUGGUCUUGAACUCCUGACCUCAGGUGAUCAACCCUCCUUGGCAUCCCAAAGUGCUGGGAUUACGGCAUGAGCCACCGCACCCAGCCAGCAAUAGGAUUAUUAAUUCAGGGGUGAUUGGAGGUAAACAUAGUCUUGAAUAAAAAACAAUUUCCUCACAAGAAAGUCCUUAUCAUUUGACAUUGAAAGGAAAAGAAAAAACAACAGAGAAAACCCUGUCAUUGUUGAUAGUGAACAGAGCAUUUAAUCUGAUUUGAGGUCCUAUGUUUCUACCUGCCUACUUGGCUAAACAAAGCUCUUUAAUGCAUUAGAUUAUAUAUUCAGUAGCCUUAAAAGUAAGAUAAAGAAACUGUACAGCACAGCAUCCAAAUACAUAGUGCUUUUUCAGUUUAAGCGAUUUCAUAAUUUCCCUUUAAUUUAAAGUUAAUUCUUUAAUGGAGACUCAUAUUUCUGAUUUCAGAUUUUCUUUUUUUGAAGGAGGGAGCCUAAAUUAUUCUGUUUGCACAAGUGGACAACAUUCCUUUUAAAAGACCAGAAUUGCCAAAGACUAGAAGGCGUAUU